rnacentral:tRNA from 1 species
GUUAACAUAGUUUAAAAAAAAUAUCAGACUGUGAAUCUGAAGAUAGGAUAUAAACUCCCUUGUUCACC